GUGCUCACUUUGGCAGCAAGCACAUAAGCUAAAAUUGAAAGAUUACCAUGGCCCCUGAACAAGGAUGACAUGCAAAUUCAUGAAGCAUUCCAUAUAUAU
rnacentral:snRNA from 1 species